rnacentral:rRNA from 1 species
UUGAAAGGGAAACGAUUGAAGUCAGUCGUGCUGGCGCGAAAUCAACCUUCUCGUCUUGAGAUCACAUGGCGUGGCGAGCCUCAAAACCGUCACGAAGCGUGAACUCUUGGUGAAAUGGAGCACUUUCGUGUCCGCUGGUUAACAUCAAUUUCGAACGUCAUAAAAAGGCUGGAGGGAUGUGGCUCCUUCGGGAGUGUUAUAACCUUUAGCGGAAUGUGGUGUUCGGGAUUGAGGAUUGCAACGAAUACCUUUAGGGCUGUUCCACCUGGCUUCUCUUUGGUAUCCUGGUGACGACAGCUUGCUGUCGUUGUUAGGAUUCGCCUUUGAGCAGGCUAGAGUGUGAGCAACACGUUAAGGAUGUUGACGUA